GGAUCCAGACUUUGAUUAUGGCUCAGGAUGAACGCUGGCGGCGUGCUUAACACAUGCAAGUCGAACGAAGCAUUUAGAACAGAUUAUUUCGGUAUGAAGUUCUUUAUGACUGAGUGGCGGACGGGUGAGUAACGCGUGGGUAACCUGCCUUGUACUGGGGGAUAGCAGCUGGAAACGGCUGGUAAUACCGCAUAAGCGCACAAUGUUGCAUGACAUGGUGUGAAAAACUCCGGUGGUAUAAGAUGGACCCGCGUCUGAUUAGCUAGUUGGUGAGAUAACAGCCCACCAAGGCGACGAUCAGUAGCCGACUUGAGAGGGUGACCGGCCACAUUGGGACUGAGACACGGCCCAGACUCCUACGGGAGGCAGCAGUGGGGAAUAUUGCACAAUGGAGGAAACUCUGAUGCAGCGACGCCGCGUGAGUGAAGAAGUAAUUCGUUAUGUAAAGCUCUAUCAGCAGGGAAGAUAGUGACGGUACCUGACUAAGAAGCUCCGGCUAAAUACGUGCCAGCAGCCGCGGUAAUACGUAUGGAGCAAGCGUUAUCCGGAUUUACUGGGUGUAAAGGGAGUGUAGGUGGCCAUGCAAGUCAGAAGUGAAAAUCCGGGGCUCAACCCCGGAACUGCUUUUGAAACUGUAAGGCUGGAGUGCAGGAGGGGUGAGUGGAAUUCCUAGUGUAGCGGUGAAAUGCGUAGAUAUUAGGAGGAACACCAGUGGCGAAGGCGGCUCACUGGACUGUAACUGACACUGAGGCUCGAAAGCGUGGGGAGCAAACAGGAUUAGAUACCCUGGUAGUCCGCGCCGUAAACGAUGAAUACUAGGUGUCGGGGCCCAAAAGGGCUUCGGUGCCGCAGCAAACGCAAUAAGUAUUCCACCUGGGGAGUACGUUCGCAAGAAUGCAACUCAAAGGAAUUGACGG
rnacentral:rRNA from 1 species